GACGAACGCUGGCGGCGUGCUUAACACAUGCAAGUCGAACGGUAAGGCCCUUCGGGGUACACGAGUGGCGAACGGGUGAGUAACACGUGGGUGAUCAGCCCUGCACUUCGGGAUAAGCCUGGGAAACUGGGUCUAAUACCGGAUAGGACCACUGCCUGCAUGGGUGGUGGUGGAAAGCUUUUGCGGUGUGGGAUGGGCCCGCGGCCUAUCAGCUUGUUGGUGGGGUGAUGGCCUACCAAGGCGACGACGGGUAGCCGGCCUGAGAGGGUGACCGGCCACACUGGGACUGAGAUACGGCCCAGACUCCUACGGGAGGCAGCAGUGGGGAAUAUUGCACAAUGGGCGCAAGCCUGAUGCAGCGACGCCGCGUGGGGGAUGACGGCCUUCGGGUUGUAAACCUCUUUCAGCACCGACGAAGCGCAAGUGACGGUAGGUGCAGAAGAAGGACCGGCCAACUACGUGCCAGCCGCCGCAGUAAUAC
rnacentral:rRNA from 1 species